rnacentral:rRNA from 1 species
ACAAGCGGUGGAGUAUGUGGUUUAAUUACGUAUGCAACGCGAAGAACCUUACCUGGUCUUGACAUCCCGGAGACCCUUAGGAAACUAGGGGGUGCUUCCAUCUGGAAGAAUCUGGAGACAGGUGCUGCAUGGCUGUCGUCAGCUCGUGUCGUGAGAUGUUGGGUUAAGUCCCGCAACGAGCGCAACCCUUGCCUUUAGUUGCCAGCAGUUCGGCUGGGCACUCUAAAGGGACUGCCGGUGUUAAACCGGAGGAAGGUGGGGAUGACGUCAAGUCCUCAUGGCCUUUAUGACCAGGGCUACACACGUACUACAAUGGCCGAUACAAAGGGCAGCGACACUGCGAGGUGAAGCCAAUCCCGUAAAAUCGGUCUCAGUCCGGAUUGGAGUCUGCAACUCGACUCCAUGAAGUUGGAAUCGCUAGUAAUCGUGGAUCAGCGUGCCACGGUGAAUACGUUCCCGGGCCUU